rnacentral:rRNA from 1 species
GACGAACGCUGGCGGCGUGCCUAAUACAUGCAAGUCGAACGCAGUGGGGACGGGUGAGUAACACGUUGGUAACCUCCCAUCAGAGGGGAUAACAAUUGGAAACCGGUGCUAAACCGAUAAUGUUGGAUGGACCCGCGGUGCAUUAGCUAGUUGGUGAGGUAACGGCUCAACAAGGCGAAGAUGCAUAGCCAGCCUGAGAGUGUGAUCGGCCACACUGGGACUGAGACACGGCCCAGACUCCUACGGGAGGCAGCAGUAGGGAAUCUUCGGCAAUGGGCGAAAGUCUGACCGAGCAACGCCGCGUGAGUGAAGAAGGCUUUCGGAUCGUAAAACUCUUUUGUCAGAGAAGCGUUAUCUAACCAGAAAGCCACGGCUAACUACGUGCCAGCAGCCGCGGUAAUAC